AAGGGCUGAUACUUUAGGGGAUUCAAGACCAAAACCAACAUGGAUCUGAGGUAGCAACCUCAGAUCUGAACCUCCAACUCGAAUUGGUUACAAAUCAUACCAAUAAUGACCAAAACUCACACAUAAGAAUAGAUCUAGAUGCAAAGGGAGUCCAAUCAACAGCUUAUUACCUCCAAUUGAUCUGAAAUGUCUUCUCAAUCUCGGAUCUACAGUCCCUUCUUGCACUUCCAAGGCUUUUCUUCCUUCUCCAAGCUUAUAGUGCUCUCUUCAAUGCAAGAUCUAGCUCAAAAACGAACAUGACGGCUAGGGUUGAUGUUCUGGGGGUAAAGAGGCACUAAAGGAACCCUAGGAAAGAGAAUGAGACGCUUAAAUAGGCUCCAAGUCCCGGAUUUAGGGUUUUCCUCGUUCAGACCCAACUCGUCGAGUCACCUUGGCCGACUCGCCGAGUCGGUCGCUAACACCUCAACCCGGAUCCCGCUCAGACUCGCCGAGUCCCUCCUUGGACUCGCCGAGUCUCUCUUUAAAAUUGAGGUCUUCUUUCUUUUCUUGACUUUCCAAACUUUGGGGUGUUACAACUCUCCCCCACUUAAACUAAGCUUCGUCCUUGAAGUUUGCUAUGAUCAACUGCCUGCGAACUGCCUCCAACUCUCUGUCUGGAAAAUCCAUCACCCUUUUGCCCAUCACUUCGGCCACUCACAGUGCCGAUCACUACCGAUAGAACAUACUGAAUCCUUCUCUUUCCCAUAAUUUCCUCAACGUUACUUCCUCCGACUGAAAAUCCUGCUGCCUCCCAUCCGCCUACCGGAUGUACUGAGACUACUCUGGUCUAACCAAUCUCCCUAUAUCUGAGUUACCGGACUCCCACCGGUCACUACACUCCAUCGCAAACUCCUAGUCUCUUCCAGCGACUCUUGAAGAUACAUCGACUAUCUAUAACUGUUCUAUCCAUUCUGCCGCUCAUACUGAAACGAUGCUGCUGGAACCAGCUCGCUUUUAUCCCACCUGAUUACUCAUCUCCUACUAACUCGAGCCUUCCCUCCUGAAUGAAAAGCUACAUGCCUAGCUAUCCUUACAGAUCACUUAUACUCGGCAAAAGGCUCAACUGAUCCUGCUGAGAGGGACUUGCCAUUUCCAAAUCAACCAACUAUACCGUCAGCACUUGCAUUCCAACACAAAUACGAAUACUGUCCCAAAACUCUGAAAUAUUCCAAACACUGAACUGCCUGCAGUGCUGAACAUGCCUGAAACUCUAAGCUGCCUGAAACGCUGAACCGACUGAAACGUUGAACGGCCUGAAACACUAAACUGGCUGAAACACUGAGUUGCCUGAAACACUGAACCGACUGAAACGCUGAACGUCCUGAAACACUGAUCUGACUGAAAUACUGAGUUCCAGCUCAACCGUAGAGUCGAAGGACUCCUCACUCAGUCGUUCCCAUGACUUCUAAACAAAAUCUUUCUCUGGAGCUCGUUUCCACUAGUUAUCCUGUCACUGCGGCUCUAACAAUUUUCCGAUCCAACCAAUCGGGUCCAUACGUCACAUCCUGACAUCAUCAAUUCCACGACUAACAACAUGAUGGCUCCCAGACUGACGGUAGCCCGCAACAUACCCGAACCCCAACGGUCCACUGCUACUCUGAUCUCAUAACUGAUGUGACGAUCUAUAGCCCAAAUUGCUGACUUAGCCAUAACUGAUCCAUCUGGGAAAUCCGAAAUCUGACCCGUGGAUUCCCAUAUCCUCACUGCUACACCCGAACUGGUGGGUACUACUGCUUUCCCACGUCUAACACGUGCUCAUGCUACCUACCAAUCUGAUAAAAGGUUGCGACUAUGCUCGCGAACUUACAACCCUCUAAUGCUAUCUGGCUGCUAGUGAAUGCUACGGCUACCCCCGCAGACUUACAACACUACUACUACUAUCUCGAGANNNNNNNNNNNNNNNNNNNNNNNNNNNNNNNNNNNNNNNNNNNNNNNNNNNNNNNNNNNNNNNNNNNNNNNNNNNNNNNNNNNNNNNNNNNNNNNNNNNNNNNNNNNNNNNNNNNNNNNNNNNNNNNNNNNNCUCAAAACAGCCCUUAGUCUUCGAAUACUGCAUCAACCUCAACAUCUUAUAUCCUUGAUAUUCUUAGCGCUUCGUCGAGGAAUUCUUCGGCUUGGUUCCCAAACCAACCGUCUACUAAUCCGGAUACAAGAAGCUAUUGUUGGGAAGUUUCCAACCUCCCAACUCCUGAAUCUACGCAACCUGCAUGCUGCCUCAGACACUGGCUACUAAUACGAAAACAUCUCUUGCUACCCGUUCUCAGGAUCCUCAUUCCGACUCACUUGAGCCCCUACAGGUGGUCCUCCAAUCCUGGAUUCUCAAGCAGCUUCCAACCAUCUCGUUCGCACGCGCUAACUAGUGGGGAGUUUCCCAAACUCCCAACCCUAAAUCCUUAGUCCAUCAAACGAUGAACUACUUCUAUUCCUUCCCGGAGGCCACAUACUCGCUCUGGGUAUGCGUGCUCUUACCUGGGCACACUCGGAGGAUUCUCCCCCACUUCGAUCUUGCUUACCCCUUGUCGCUUGAUACUCAAAAGAGAUCCCGAUCUUUGCUGCCAUUCCAUAAUCAUUCUGCUAAGGAACCCAAGCCUGCCAUAGCUAGGGAUCUAACCAAUCCAACCCAAACACUAACCACUCCGAACUAGCGAAACGAACCAAAUCUCUCCCAACCAUGCUACAGUUACUGCAUCCUCCAAAACCUUCUUCAUAAGAGCACAUCCCCUAACUACCAACCAAUUUUCCGAGGUAUGCAAAUGGCAUAUAACAUAAUCACAAAAGCCACACUAUAACCCAACACAUAAGCUUAUUGACAUCAAUGCAGCAACAUAGCAAUAAUGUUGGGAAUAAUAAAAUAGAAGGAAAAGAAUCAUACCUGCAACCUGAUCUGAAGGAUCCUCAAAUCCCUCUGACUUUCGAACUCUGCUAUAACACUGAGGCUGUCCCAACCGCCGAACGGGGCAGUUCACCCUAACAUGGCCAGGCUGAUGACAACGAUGGCAUAACUCUACUUCUACUGUGCAUUCCUGACGUUUAUGACCCUUCCAUCCGCAUCUGCCGCACUUAGACUUGCUGCGCACGCCAGCCCAUGCUCCCUUCUCCCUCGUGCAACUAUCUCGACCUUGCGGGCCCCUGACACCCACUACGACAGUGUCCGACUGCCCAUCUUGCCUAACUAGACCGGAAGACCGCUUCCUCUUCCUAAGCUGACUAUCCGAGCCAAUCUCCCGCUCAUGGGUCAUAGUGACCAUUUCAUCCAUUGCCUGGACAGCUGAGGUCCGCCUUUCAAUCCCGUCGACCACACUAUCGGUGAUACGCCCAAUGGUGUUUGGUAACUCUUCCUGGAGAGCCCGCGAAACCUCUGCAGCAAUCCAAUCCUGCAGGGAACCCUCUUGGGGGUAAGGUGGACCACUCACUCCCGACCCCGGAUGACAAGUGCUAAAAAUGGGACUCCCCUCCCUGAUGGAUCCCUGGGAUCCAUGAGAAUCGGGCUCUAGAUGAGCCCCAAACUGUCCUGAAACUGCCCCGGCCCCUAAGGCCUUAAGUUGGCUGUCCAUAAGCUCCAUGAUGGCCUCUCUAAUCGAACCGAAAAUCACUGGAGUCUGAUCAAUGAUGUUGCGCAUAAUCUCUGCGGAAAUGAAAUCCCUCAUCUGAUCAUCAAGCUGCCCGGCUCCAAAACCCGAGCUAGAUCCCUCCUCGACGCCUGAAUUGCUAACUGGUAGCUCGCGCAAUGUCACCAUGCUGAAAAUAUAACAAAAUCCUGAUCAAUUAACACACUAUUGCUGAGGGAUUUCUCACUCACUACACCAUUCCUGGUUUCGUCUUGGCCCCUCUUGAAUCGAGUACGGAUCCUCUGCUUUCAGUAGUAUGGGCCCCUACUACCUUCCACAUCUAUCCGUACUUUCCCCAAGAGUUACCUCAACUCCACCAAGUCCCCUUUACUCUUCUACUGAUCUCUGCUACUCUCAUCCUAGGCUUGCCCUAGGGAACCUCUGACUCUACCCACACAGUCCUCAGCUGCUGAAGGCCUCCUAGUAAUGCCAAUUAGUCACCACCUGAAUACCAUCACAUGUGACGAGGCUCAGAUAAUCCUUCAAGUAAAAGACUCGUCCCUACAACGGUUGGACUCAAACGAGAGCUGCGCAGUAGGGCCAAAUCCAGCACUCUGAGAUUAUUCAACCCUGAUCACAUGUGAUGUGACGUAUUCACCUAAUGGCUAACUCCCAUCACUCAGAGUCCCACAAAGCACAAAGCAAGCAGCAUUCGGAUAAGGAAACAUACUCAGGCAAAAUAAUUCUCAUAACAAGAAACUGCACUAGCAUACAAUCCUAAGCUCAUGCUAUCAUGCAUAACCUACACAGGCUAUCCUACUACUGUCCACUCAAUACUAGCAUGCAAUUCUUAUCAAGAUGAAACACAUAAAACAGGCACAUAAGGCAUCAUCCUAGAUCCUUAGUCCUAUUCUAGCAUGCUGUUCUACUGAAGCUGGAACUGAAACUGAAACUGAAACCGAUACUGAUAAUCAUAAUAUAACUUGUAUGGGUAAAUUGGGAGUACUUACUUGAGCUCGGCUGAUUGCAUGCACCACACCCUUUUCUCUUUUCAAAACUCUUUUUGCUUUUUCUAAAAUUGUUUUCUUUUCUCAAAAUUCUUUUGUAAUUACGAUUUUUCUUUUGAAACUAUAUACCACUUCCUUAGUUUGAGUUCAGACACACUCAGGAGUGCGCCCGAAUCCCUCAAACCAAGGCUCUGAUACCAACUUGUAACGACCCAAAAAUCACGACUAAAAAUUUCUUUUAAAACAUUACUAAAAAUAGAUUUAUAAACAACGUAUCAAAAAUCAAACAUAACUUUUGAGUAUUAAAUUCAAAACAUAAUAGCAUUAUCAGAGUCAAACAUUCCCAGGCUAACUGACUAUGGUGUGUGCUCUGCAAUCUUCCCGAGCUCCUCUUUUGAAAACCGAGUACCUGAAACCAAAACUGAAAACCGUAAGCACGAAGCUUAGUGAGCUCCCCCCAAUCUACCACAUACCACACAAAAACAUAUAAAGCACAUAUGGGGCCUUGCCCCCUGCAUCGGACCGAAGUCCGGACUAACUGGGACCUUGUCCCCUGCAUCGGACCGAAGUCCGGGCUAACUGGGGCCUUGCCCCCUGCAUCGGACCGAAGUCCGGACUAACUGGGACCUUGUCCCCUGCAUCGGACCGAAGUCCGGGCUAACUGGGGCCUUGCCCCCUGCAUCGGACCGAAGUCCGGACUAACUGGGACCUUGUCCCCUGCAUCGGACCGAAGUCCGGGCUAACUGGGGCCUUGCCCCCUGCAUCGGACCGAAGUCCGGACUAACUGGGACCUUGUCCCCUGCAUCGGACCGAAGUCCGGGCUAACUGAACAGAACAUAACAUAAACAUAUCAACUAGCAUGAACACACGUAUACUGCAUACUACUUCGGGCCGUAGCCCGGAACACAUAACACAUAAAUCCUGUCUGAGCCACGAAGGCAUCAAACAUACUAACUACUAUAUCAGAUCAACAUCCGAAAACUACUGCUAGCUAAACGGGCCGGCAUUGUGGCCUUAGACCCGUUCCUACUGGAAGGAAACUCACCUGAACUGCUGAGCCCUGCUGAUAAACCUCUGGCUGCUACUCGACAAUCCCCUGAACCGCUGCUCCUCUAGCUCUCCGAGCUAUCAAUAUACAUAUAACACUUAGUCUGACAGUCAACUAAGUCAACUCUGGUCAAAGUCAACCUUCCAGGUCAACCCUACUCGCCGAGUCUUCCUAAAGACUCGCCGAGUUCAUAAGCUCAGGGUCUUUCUUAUUCGCGACCCGACUCGCCGAGUCAGUCCAUGACUCGCCGAGUCCAACUAGUUCCAAGUCCUGUCCUGUCCAACUCGCUGAGUCACCACCCGACUCACUGAUUCGAGUCUCAACUCAAAGGGUUUAGGGUUUCGCGAUCUGACUCGCCGAGUCCAAGAACAGACUCGCCGAGUCCAAGACAAUCUUCAACCAACUCGUCGAGUUGUUCAUCCAACUCGCCGAGUCCAUGCCUAACUUCAUCCGACUCGACGAGCUGUUCAUCCUACUCGUCGAGUUCCUCCUCAUCUUCAAGCUACUCGCCGAGUCCACUCGAAGGACUCGCCGAGUCUAUCCAGUCCUCAAUCCAUGCAGUGGCUUUUCGAGCCAAAUAGAACUUCCAACUCAUAGAUCCAUACUUCCAGGGCCUAAUCCCCAUGUAAAGUGGCAAACUUUACGUGUAGAUUGAGAGAUCUAUGCUCAAAACACACUAAACUAGGGUUUAUGGCAAACAUGCUUCUUCAACAUACCAAGGGCUGAUACUUUAGGGGAUUUAAGACCAAAACCAACAUGGAUAUGAGGUAGCAACCUCAGAUCUGGACCUCCAACUCGAAUUGGUUACAAAUCAUACCAAUAAUGACCAAAACUCACACAUAAGAAUAGAUCUAGAUGCAAAAGGGAGUCCAAUCAACAGCUUAUUACCUCCAAUUGAUCUGAAAUGUCUUCUCAAUCUCGGAUCUACAGUCUCUUCUUGCACUUCCAAGGCUUUUCUUCCUUCUCCAAGCUUUUAGUGCUCUCUUCAAUGCAAGAUCUAGCUCAACAACGGAUAUGGCGGCUAGGGUUGAUGUUCUGGGGGGUAAAGAGGCACUAAAGGAACCCUAGGAAAGAGAAUG
rnacentral:lncRNA from 1 species